CCUCCCCCAUGAAUCCUCAUCCCUCCUCUCUCGCAAUUCUCUGAGAUAUCAGUUAAUGACCUGUUUUCCCCCAUCCAUCUUUCUCUGCCACCGUGCCCUUGAACAGUUCUUAUGUGGUUCUCAGAGGGAGCUAGUUCCCACGCCAGCGUAGGGUAGGGGAGUCACAGACUGGGGCAGCGGCUGUUCAUUUGAGGUGACCCUUUUCCCAAGAAGAAUCCAAAAUAAAAACAUUUUCGGCAGUUCUUUUACAAAUACUUAAGAUUUUCAACCUCGAUUUUAGAUAAAUGUAGUUGCGUUUUUUGUUUGUUUUUUUUUCUGCUCCAGAAACUUUACCAAAAGCCUUUUAUUAAAGGGUGUCACAGUGGGCCCGAAGUUCACCAGCUUCUACUUAAAAACAAGCCCCAGACUCAGUCUACCUGAACUCUGGAGACCAAAGUGGUUCUCUGACGGUGUAGAGGGACAGGUGCCCGUUUUAAUUCCUCGCUCUCUCCUCCCCCAAUCCCCCCACCUUUCCGCGGUCGUGACGCUGACCUCCCCAGGAGGAUUCGGAUGUCCCGUGGCCCCUGCCUUAGCUCUGCCGGGUGGACCGAGGCUGUCCUCCUCCAAUCGUGCACACAUCCCCCUACCCCCGCAACACACACACAUACACACACCUCGCCCGGCCAGAUCUCCCUCAAGCAACGCUGCUGCCUCUUGCCCAGCGCCAAACUCUGAAAGUUUGGAAAAUCCGGGACAAAAACGUAGGCGGCGGGAAUCGGCGAGAAGGACGCGAGAUAAAGAGACCACCUAGAAGGAAAUUAACCCAAUGUUCCCAUUGCGGGGGCCUCUCCUGACCCGAUUUUCUCCUUCCGGAGCGCUCCGCAGAGCACAAAUUGCAAGGGAGGGCGAGCCAAGCCAGAGCCCGAGGCGCCUGUCAAGACGCGCGCUACUUGGAAUCCACCCCCACCUCUCGCCAAGACCUCAAAGUUGGAAAGCACCUCAUCUCAGCCUCUCCGUGCAUUGGUAGGGUUACUUCUGCUUUCUGUUCUUAAGAAGUGUGCUGCUGUAUCAUACCAAAACCACUUAUUGAUUGCAAAAGAAAAAAAUGAAGUGGGUAAAAUGGAUCUGACCUUAACGAGCAAUGAAUGAAGAGUUCCUGUUGUUCUACAUCCUCGUCAGCAUUUCGUGUUGUCAGUAUUUUGGAUUUUGGCCCAUUCUCCUAGGUGUACAGUAGGUCUCAUCUUUGUUUUGGUUCGUAUAUUUUUAUUUUUUGUUUUUAUUUUUGUCUUUUGUCUUUUUCUUUUCUUUCUUUCUUUUUUUUUUUUUUUUUUUU